rnacentral:rRNA from 1 species
CCUACGGGAGGCAGCAGUGAGGAAUAUUGGUCAAUGGGCGCGAGCCUGAACCAGCCAAGUAGCGUGAAGGAUGACUGCCCUACGGGUUGUAAACUUCUUUUAUAAAGGAAUAAAGUGAGGCACGUGUGCCUUUUUGUAUGUACUUUAUGAAUAAGGAUCGGCUAACUCCGUGCCAGCAGCCGCGGUAAUACGGAGGAUCCGAGCGUUAUCCGGAUUUAUUGGGGUUAAAGGGAGCGUAGAUGGGUUGUUAAGUCAGUUGUGAAAGUUUGCGGGUCAACCGUAAAAUUGCAAUUGAUACUGGCAGUCUUGAGUACAGUAGAGGGAGGCGGAAUUCGUGGUGUAGCGGUGAAAUGCGUAGAUAUCACGAAGAACACCGAUUGCGAAGGCAGCUUACUAAACAGCCACUGACAUUGAUGCGCGAAAGUGUGGGUAGCAAACAGGAUUAGAUACCCUGGUAGUC